rnacentral:rRNA from 1 species
UACGGAGGAUCCAAGCGUUAUCCGGAUUUAUUGGGUUUAAAGGGUGCGUAGGCGGUUUGGUAAGUCUUAUGUGAAAUCUACAGGCUCAACUUGUAGUCUGCAUGAGAAACUGCCGGGCUUGAGUAUGGGAGAGGUGAGUGGAAUUCCUGGUGUAGCGGUGAAAUGCGUAGAGAUCGGAAAGAACACCAACGGCGAAAGCAACUCUGCUGGGCCGACACUGACACUGAGAGACGAAAGCUAGGGGAGCGAAUGGG